CCUCGCUUUCUUGGCAGGAUCGGGUUUUCUGUACCCAUUUCUGUAAUGUGCAGAGGUAAAAAAUACUGUCGAAUGCCAUGUCUUUGGUGCCAGUAGUUUUCCCACCCGCUGAUUCUAUCCUCAAGCGCUGGGACACAG